GCGAAGGACAUCGCUCCAUCGCCAAGAAUGGCUCUGUGUACCCCAACCCUCCUCGUGUAUCCUCUACAUCGAACCCUAGCAUCGAUCUCCCCCAGUGGUUUCUUCCACUCUUGUGCUCGAUUUCUUGGACUGCGUACCUGGGGAAGAUCCAUCAACGUGUUGAGAUCGCCUGUGGGUUCGAGAGUGAGCUCUAAGCGAUGGAAUAGUGGUAUAAUAUAUUUUUCGCUCAGUGAUGAUUUGGAUUCCGGUAAUGGUUCGUCGGUGGAUGGAUACGUUAAGAAGAGAAAUAUCGUCGAGCAUAUUCUUCUAUUGAGAGCAAAGGAAAAUUUAUCUGAUGUUGAGGAAAAGGACAUGCUUGAUUAUCUCUACACAUCUCAAUAUCAGAUGAGUGGAAUAAUUGCAAUAUCAUUAGGUCGUAUAGAGUGCCCAAAUCUUGAUAAUUUUACUCAUGCAGUAUACAUGCGUUUCCAAAGAAAAGAAGAUCUUGCCAAAUUUUACUCAAAUUCCUACUAUUCCAGAAUUCUUAAGGAACAUGUCACUCCAUAUUGCUAUGGAUCAAUUUCUGUCGAUUAUGAAUCUGAAGUAGAGGAUGAUAUCAUUCCCAUAUUCCGGAGGGGAGAGGAGUUCAACUAUGGUGUUGAGUGCAUGCUUCUGAUGUCUAUUUCCAAGACUGCACCAGAACAUGCUGUAGAAGAUGCAUUAGCUAGUCUAUGGAACUUGACUCUGGAUUUUGGUUCAGACAUUGUACAGGCAACACAAGGUUGCAAUCUCAAUGUUGCAGAUAGUGAAUACACUCAUGCUGCAGUGAUGCGAUUUCCAUCAUUGAACAGGGUCUAUAAACCACUCUCAGACAGAUGUGAUGAUGACUUUGGUAAUGGCUACUAGUUGAUGUUUCAUUGUGGUUUGGUGUUGUGCAGUUGAAGCCUUCAAGAUAUUCACAGAAAGCCCCAUCUACAAGGACAUGUGGAAGCUGAAGUUCCAUGCUAUCACGGGAAAAGCUCUUCUGCUACAUUUCCUUGUCGAUCCUGUAGGCACUGAGUUGAUGUAAGACAGACUACAUUGUUAUUUCAGGUACUGAUCAGAUCAGGUAAGUAUUCUGUGAAACAUAUUACCGUGUGUUCGGUAAUUGUUUCCCUCCAAGUGUAAAUCUCAAUGUUCUGUAUAUAAAUUUGAAUCCUUUCUUCUUUC